GUUGAAACACCGGUUCCCGUACGAUCAUUGAAGCUAAGUAACGUUGAGCCUGGUCAGUAUCUAGACGGGUGACCGCUUAGGAAUACAAUGUGCUGUAAU